CCGCGGUAUAUAGACCGUGCGAAGGUAGCAUAAUAAUUUGCUUUUUAAUUGGAAACUAGUAUGAAUGGUUGAACAAAAAACCAACUGUCUCUAAUAUAAAUCUUGAAUUUAACUUUUAAGUGAAAAGGCUUAAAUUUUUUAAGGGGACGAUAAGACCCUAUAAAUCUUUAUAUUUAAGAUUAUUAUAUUGAAGAAAUAAAAUCUUUCUUUAAUAAUUUUAGAUAUUUUGUUGGGGAGACAAGAAUAUAAUAAGUAACUGUUUUAUAUUUUAAGUUAAUGAUAUUUAAAUAGGAGAUCCUUUAUUAUGGAUUGUAGUUUAAGUUACUUUAGGGAUAACAGCGUAAUUUUUUUUGAGAGUCCAUAUCGAAAAAAAAGGUUGCGACCUCGAUGUUGAAUUAAAGAUCCUUUUUGGUGCAGAAGUUUAAAAAGGAGGUCUGUUCGACCUUUAAACCUUUACAUGAUUUGAGUUCAGACCGGCGUGAGCCAGG
rnacentral:rRNA from 1 species